UACGGAGGGGACUAGCGUUGUUCGGAAUUACUGGGCGUAAAGCGCACGUAGGCGGCUUUGUAAGUCAGGGGUGAAAUCCCGGGGCUCAACCUCGGAACUGCCUUUGAUACUGCAAAUCUCGAGUCCGGAAGAGGCGAGUGGAAUUCCUGGUGUAGCGGUGGAAUGCGCAGAUAUCAGGAGGAACACCAAUAGCGAAGGCAGCUCGCUGGGACGGUAUUGACGCUAAGGCGCGAAAGCGUGGGGAGCAAACAGG
rnacentral:rRNA from 1 species